GGGGGCGGCCUAAACAUGCAAGUCGAGCGGUAGCACAGAGAGCUUGCUCUCGGGUGACGAGCGGCGGACGGGUGAGUAAUGUCUGGGAAACUGCCUGAUGGAGGGGGAUAACUACUGGAAACGGUAGCUAAUACCGCAUAACGUCGCAAGACCAAAGUGGGGGACCUUCGGGCCUCAUGCCAUCAGAUGUGCCCAGAUGGGAUUAGCUAGUAGGUGGGGUAACGGCUCACCUAGGCGACGAUCCCUAGCUGGUCUGAGAGGAUGACCAGCCACACUGGAACUGAGACACGGUCCAGACUCCUACGGGAGGCAGCAGUGGGGAAUAUUGCACAAUGGGCGCAAGCCUGAUGCAGCCAUGCCGCGUGUGUGAAGAAGGCCUUCGGGUUGUAAAGCACUUUCAGCGGGGAGGAAGGCGUUAAGGUUAAUAACCUUGUCGAUUGACGUUACCCGCAGAAGAAGCACCGGCUAACUCCGUGCCAGCAGCCGCGGUAAUACGGAGGGUGCAAGCGUUAAUCGGAAUUACUGGGCGUAAAGCGCACGCAGGCGGUCUGUCAAGUCGGAUGUGAAAUCCCCGGGCUCAACCUGGGAACUGCAUUCGAAACUGGCAGGCUAAAGUCUUGUAGAGGGGGGUACAAUUCCAGGUGUAACGGUGAAAUGCGUAGACAUCUGGAGGAAGAUCGCCGGGGAAGGCCCCCCGGUUGGAUAACGACUGUUCUUCAGGUGAGAAAGAGUGGGGAGCCAACAGGAUUAGAUACCCUGGUAGUCUCCGCCAUAAAUGAUGUCGAUUUGGAGGUUGCCCCCUGGAGGCGU
rnacentral:rRNA from 1 species